AUGGCGCAGACGACCGUGGUGGUGCCGGAGGUGGGCAUGACUGCGGCCGCGCCCACGGCGUGCUCCUGCCCUGGUUCGCUGUUCCCCUACCCGCCGCCGCGUGCCGGGAUGGCCGUGAGCCGCAAGUGCCUGCGGGCGGCGCAGGCGGAGCUUGGCGCCGGGAUGCUCAGUGGCCUGGUCGAGUCCAUGCGGGCGUCCUCCCCCACGCACGCCAGGGCCGCCGCCGCCCUCUCCGCCGGCGUCGACGACGAGCACGCCGCCUGGAUGGCGAGGCACCCGUCCGCCCUGGGAAAGUUCGAGGAGAUCGUGGCCGCGUCCAAGGGGAAGCAGAUCGUCAUGUUCCUGGACUACGACGGCACGCUGUCCCCCAUCGUCGAUGACCCCGACGCCGCCUUCAUGAGCGAGACGAUGCGGAUGGCAGUGCGCAGCGUGGCCAAGCACUUCCCGACGGCGAUCGUCAGCGGUCGGUGCCGCGACAAGGUGUUUGAUUUCGUGAAGCUGGCGGAGCUCUACUACGCCGGCAGCCACGGCAUGGACAUCAAGGGCCCGGCCAAAUCCUCAAAGUCCAAGGCCAAAGGAGUUCUCUUCCAACCGGCAAGCGAGUUCCUGCCCAUGAUAGAAGAGGUGCAUCAACGGCUGAUAGAGGAGACGAAGCACGUAGCCGGGGCCAAGGUGGAGAACAACAAGUUCUGCGUGUCAGUUCACUUCAGAUGCGUCGACGAAAAGAGCUGGGGCGCGCUGGCGGAGACGGUGAAGGGCGUGAUGCGGGAGUACCCCAAGCUGCGCAUGUCGCAGGGGCGGAUGGUGUUCGAGGUGCGGCCCACCAUCAAGUGGGACAAGGGCAAGGCCCUCGAGUUCCUGCUCGAGUCGCUGGGCUUCGCCGACUGCCCCAACGUGCUGCCCGUCUACAUCGGCGACGACCGCACCGACGAGGACGCCUUCAAGGUGCUGCGCCGGCGGGGCCAGGGCGUCGGGAUCCUCGUCUCCAAGCACCCCAAGGACACCAGCGCCUCCUUCUCGCUGCAGGAGCCGGCCGAGGUCAUGGAGUUCCUGCUCCGCCUCGUCGAGUGGAAGCAGCUCUCCAAGGCGCGCCUCAGGCUGCGGCGACAGGCCGACGCCUGA
rnacentral:rRNA from 1 species